GCUGACACGCUGUCCUCUGGCGACCUGUCGCUGGAGAGGUUGGGCCUCUGGAUGCGUGCGGGGCUCUGGCCUACCGGUGACCCGGCUAGCCGGCCGUGCUCCUGCUUGAGCCGCCUGCUGGGGCCCGCGGGCCUGUGGUUCUCUCGCGCGUCCGAGCGUCCCGACUCCCGGUGCCGGCCCGGGUCCGGGUCUCUGACCCACCCGGGGGGCGGCGGGGAAGGCGGCGGGGGCCACCCUGCCCCCGUGCGCUCUCCGCUGCGGGCGCCCGGGGCGGCUGCGACAACCCCACCCCGCUGGCUCCGUGCCGUGCGUGUCAGGCGUUCUCGUCUCCGCUGGGUUGUCCGCCGCCCCUUCCCCGGGGUGGGGAGCUGGCCGGGGCCGAUCGGCUGGUCUGGCUGGCCGGCCGGCCGGGUGGCCGACCUCCGCUCCCGGGGGGCUCUUCGCGAUCGAUGUGGUGACGUCAUGCUCUCCCGGGCCGGGUCCGAGCCGCGCCGGGCGAGGGGCGGACGUUCGUGGCGAACGGGUCCGUUCUUCUCGCUCCGCCCCGCGGGGGCCCCUCGUCUCUCCUCUCCCCGCCUGCGGGUGGUGCGUGUGGGAAGGCGUGGGGUGCGGAACCCGGCCUGACCUCGGCGUCCCGCCCGCCGCCUUCUGCGUCGCGGGACGGGUCGGCGGGGUCCUCUGACGCGGCAGACACCCCUCGCUGUCGCCUCCCGUGGUUGUCGACUUGCGGGCGGGCCCCCUCCGCGGCGGUGGGGGUGCCGUCCCGCCGGCCCGUCGUGCUGCCCUCUCUGGGGGUUUGCUCGAGCGUCGGCUCCGCCUGGGCCCUUGCGGUGCUCCUGGAGCGCUCCGGGUUGUCCCUCAGGUGCCCGAGGCCGAGCGGUGGUGUGUCGUUCCCGCCCCCAGUGCCCCCCUCCUCCGGUCGCCACCGCGGUGUCCGCGUGUGGGUCCUGAGGGAGCUCGUAGGUGUGGGGUUCGAGGCGGUUGAGUGAGACGAGACGCGCCCCUCCCACGCGGGGAAGGGCGCCCGCCUGGUCCGGCGAGUGCACGUCCCGUGCUCCCCUUUGGCGGGUGCGCGCGGGCCGUGUGAGCGAUCGCGGUGGGUUCGGGCCGGUGACGCGUGCGCCGGCUGGCCGCCGAGGGGCUGCCGUUCCGCCUCCGACCGGUCGUGUGUGGGUUGACUUCGGAGGUGCUUUGCCUCGGAAGGAAGGAGGUGGGGGGACGGGGGGGGCCUCGUGGGGUUGCGCGCACGCGCGCACCGGCCGAGCCCCCGCCCUGACCGCGAACGCUCAAGGUGGCCGCACGCAGGUGUUUCCUCGUACCGCAGGCCCUCUCCCUUCCCCAGGCGUCCCUCGGCGCCUCUGCGGGCCCGAGGAGGGGUGGCUGGCGGUUGGGGAGUGUGACCCACCCUCGGUGAGAAAGCCUUCUCUAGCGAUCCGAGAGGUGUGCCUUGGGGUACCGGAUCCCCCGGACUGCCGCCUCUGUCUCUGCCUCUGUUACGGUAGCGCUGCCGUAGCGACUCGCUCGCAGAGGACCCUCCUCCGCUUCCCCCUCGACGGGGUUGAGGGGGGAGAGCGAGGGUUCCGCCGGCCACCGCGGUGGUGGCCGAGCGCGGCUCGUCGCCUACUGUGGCCCGCGCCUCCCCCUUCCGAGUCGGGGGAGGAUCCCGCCGGGCCGGGCCCGGCGUCCUGGCGGGUUGGGACGUGGCGGCCGGCGAGCGGUGGUGGGUGUGUGCUGCGCGGUGUACCGCCCGGCGCGUGAGUCCCUCCGCCGUGAGUCGGCUCUCCGCCCGCUCCCCUGCCGAGUCGUGACCGGUGUCGGCGACCGCGUUUUGCGUGGCGUGGGGUCGGGCCGCCUGGGCCCUGGGAAAGCGUCCCGCGGUGGGGGCGCGCCGGUCUCCCGGAGCGGGGCCGGGCCGGAGGAUGGACGAGAAUCACGAGCGAUGGUGGUGCUGGCGUUGGGUUCGUGGCUGCGGUCGCUUCGGGGUCCCCGGUGGCGGGACCCCGGGGCUCGCGAGGCGGAUCUCGGUGGGGGGGCCGAGGGCCGUCCGGCGUCCCAGGCGGGGCGCCGCGGGACCGCCCUCGUGUCUGUGGCGGUGGGAUCCCGCGGCCGUGUUUUCCUGGUGGCCCGGCCGUACCCGAGGUUUCUCCCCCGAGCUGCCGCCUCUGUGGGCUCCUGGGUGCCCUUGCCCGUCUGUGCCCUCUUCCCUGCCCGCCGCCUGCCGAUUCCCCUCUUCUCCCCGAGCGGCUCACCGGCUUCCCGUCGGUUGGCGGCCCCGCCUGGGACCGAACCAGGCACCGCCUCGUGGGGCGCCGCCACCGGCCACUGGUUGGCCCGGUGUCCGCGUCCCCCGGCGCGCGCCUUCGGGACCGGGUCGGUGGCGCCCCGCGUUGGGGCCCGGUGGGCUUCCCGGAGGGUUUCGGGGGUCGGCCUGCAGCGCGUGCGGGGCGAGAGAGGGUUCCGGGGAACCGGCCGCGACUGCGGCGGCGGUGGGGGGGAGCCG
rnacentral:precursor_RNA from 1 species